CAAUAGCGUAUAUUAAAGUUGUUGCAGUUAAAAAGCUCGUAGUUGGAUUUCUGGUAGGAGCGACCGUGCCGAACUUGAUUGUUCGAGUAUUGUGUUGUCUUCAGCCAUCCUCGUGGAGAACUUUUCUAACAUUAACUUGUUGGGAUUGGGACCCGCGUCGUUUACUGUGAAAAAAUUAGAGUGUUUAAAGCAGGCAUUAGCUUGAAUACAUUAGCAUGGAAUAAUAAGAUAGGACUUUGGUACUAUCUUGUUGGUUUGCAUACCAAAUUAAUGAUCAACAGGAACAGUUUGAGGAUAUUCGUAUGAACAUGUCAGAGGUGAAAUUCUUGGAUUUUGAUCAGACGAACUACUGCGAAAGCAUUUAUCAAGGAUGUUUUCAUUAA
rnacentral:rRNA from 1 species